GCCAGGUAUGGUGGUGCACACCUGUAAUCCCAGCGUCUUAGGAGGCUGAGACAGGAGGAUUGCAAGUUCAAAGCCAGUCUCAGCAAUGGCAAGGUACUAGGCAACUCAGUGAGACCCUGUCUCUA
rnacentral:sRNA from 1 species